rnacentral:rRNA from 1 species
UAGCAAUUAUACCGCGAAACUGCGAAUGGCUCAUUAUAUAAGUUAUCGUUUAUUUGAUAGUACCUUACUACUUGGAUAACCGUGGUAAUUCUAGAGCUAAUACAUGCUAAAAAUCCCGACUUCGGAAGGGAUGUAUUUAUUAGAUUAAAAACCAAUGCCCUUCGGGGCUCCUUGGUGAUUCAUGAUAACUUCUCGAAUCGCAUGGCCUUGUGCCGGCGAUGGUUCAUUCAAAUUUCUUCCCUAUCAACUUUCGAUGUUUGGGUAUUGGCCAAACAUGGUUGCAACGGGUAACGGAGGGUUAGGGCUCGACCCCGGAGAAGGAGCCUGAGAAACGGCUACUACAUCCAAGGAAGGCAGCAGGCGCGCAAAUUACCCAAUCCCGACUCGGGGAGGUAGUGACAAUAAAUACUGAUACAGGGCUCUUUUGGGUCUUGUAAUUGGAAUGAGUACAAUUUAAAUCCCUUAACGAGGAACAAUUGGAGGGCAAGUCUGGUGCCAGCAGCCGCGGUAAUUCCAGCUCCAAUAGCGUAUAUUAAAGUUGUUGUGGUUAAAAAGCUCGUAGUUGAACCUUGGGCCUGGCUGGCCGGUCCGCCUCACCGCGUGUACUGGUCCGGCCGGGCCUUUCCCUCUGUGGAACCCCAUGCCCUUCACUGGGUGUGGCGGGGAAACAGGACUUUUACUUUGAAAAAAUUAGAGUGCUCCAGGCAGGCCUAUGCUCGAAUACAUUAGCAUGGAAUAAUAGAAUAGGACGUGUGGUUCUAUUUUGUUGGUUUCUAGGACCGCCGUAAUGAUUAAUAGGGACAGUCGGGGGCAUCAGUAUUCAAUUGUCAGAGGUGAAAUUCUUGGAUUUAUUGAAGACUAACUACUGCGAAAGCAUUUGCCAAGGAUGUUUUCAUUAAUCAGGAACGAAAGUUAGGGGAUCGAAGACGAUCAGAUACCGUCGUAGUCUUAACCAUAAACUAUGCCGACUAGGGAUCGGACGAUGUUAUUUUUUGACUCGUUCGGCACCUUACGAGAAAUCAAAGUGCUGGC